AGAACUACUGAAGAUGGGAGAAGCAUUCUUAUUUGGAAGCAUUAGUGACCAAAGAAGAAGUCACACAUGGAUACAGAAGAAGCCAUACUUUGAACACAACACCAGAAUCAGAAGCUGCUUGGGCUCCCUCUGUUUCUAAAGAAGAUGAUGACGAAUAGGAAGACAACCAAACUCCAUCUGUUUUUGGACCAGAACCUGAGUAUCCGGAAUCAGUAAGGGCCAGCUUUGGUCAGCAUCAUGUUUGGUGUAAUUCAGAGCUGUCUGCUUCUGAUCAGGCAGCGCUGGUGUCCUGGUUUUAAGGACAGGUAUCUGCCAAUAAAGGCAGAAGCUUCUCUUUGAAAUGGAGAAUGUAAACCC